UACGUAGGUGGCAAGCGUUGUCCGGAUUUACUGGGCGUAAAGGGCGCGUAGGCGGCGUGACAAGUCACUUGUGAAAUCUCUGAGCUUAACUCAGAACGGCCAAGUGAAACUGUUGUGCUAGAGUGCAGAAGGGGCAAUCGGAAUUCUUGGUGUAGCGGUGAAAUGCGUAGAUAUCAAGAGGAACACCUGAGGUGAAGACGGGUUGCUGGGCUGACACUGACGCUGAGGCGCGAAAGCCAGGGGAGCAAACGGG
rnacentral:rRNA from 1 species